ACAUGAGGAAAGCUUGCUUUCCUUGAUGACGACUGGCGCACGGGUGAGUAACGCGUAUCCAACCUUCCCAUAACUACGGGAUAACCCGUUGAAAGACGGCCUAAUACCGUAUGAUAUCGUUUGCUGACAUCAAAUAACGAUUAAAGGUUUAGCGGUUAUGGAUGGGGAUGCGUCUGAUUAGCUUGUUGGCGGGGUAACGGCCCACCAAGGCUACGAUCAGUAGGGGUUCUGAGAGGAAGGUCCCCCACAUUGGAACUGAGACACGGUCCAAACUCCUACGGGAGGCAGCAGUGAGGAAUAUUGGUCAAUGGGCGAGAGCCUGAACCAGCCAAGUAGCGUGCAGGAUGACGGCCCUAUGGGUUGUAAACUGCUUUUAUGUGGGGAUAAAGUGCGUGACGUGUCAUGCAUUGCAGGUACCACAUGAAUAAGGACCGGCUAAUUCCGUGCCAGCAGCCGCGGUAAUACGGAAGGUCCGGGCGUUAUCCGGAUUUAUUGGGUUUAAAGGGAGCGUAGGCUGUCUAUUAAGCGUGUUGUGAAAUUUACCGGCUCAACCGGUAGCUUG
rnacentral:rRNA from 1 species